UACGGAGGGGGCUAGCGUUGUUCGGAAUUACUGGGCGUAAAGCGCACGUAGGCGGCUUUGUAAGUUAGAGGUGAAAGCCCAGAGCUCAACUCUGGAAUUGCCUUUAAGACUGCAUCGCUAGAACGUCGGAGAGGUGAGUGGAAUUCCGAGUGUAGAGGUGAAAUUCGUAGAUAUUCGGAAGAACACCAGUGGCGAAGGCGACUCACUGGACGACUGUUGACGCUGAGGUGCGAAAG
rnacentral:rRNA from 1 species